rnacentral:rRNA from 1 species
UACAGAGGGGGCAAGCGUUGGUUCGGAAUUACUGGGCGUAAGGGCGCGUAGGCGGCCUUCUAAGUCGAACGUGAAAUCCCUGGGCUCAACCCAGGAACUGCGUCCGAUACUGGAAGGCUUGAAUCCGGGAGAGGGAUGCGGAAUUCCAGGUGUAGCGGUGAAAUGCGUAGAUAUCUGGAGGAACACCGGUGGCGAAGGCGGCAUCCUGGACCGGUAUUGACGCUGAGGCGCGAAAGCCAGGGGAGCAACGGG